UACGAAGGGAGCUAGCGUUGUUCGGAAUCACUGGGCGUAAAGCGCACGUAGGCGGAUUUGUCAGUCAGGGGUGAAAUCCCGGGGCUCAACCUCGGAACUGCCUUUGAUACAGCAAGUCUUGAGUUCGAGAGAGGUGGGUGGAAUUCCUAGUGUAGAGGUGAAAUUCGUAGAUAUUAGGAAGAACACCGGUGGCGAAGGCGGCCCACUGGCUCGAUACUGACGCUGAGGUGCGAAAGCGUGGGGAGCAAACGGG
rnacentral:rRNA from 1 species